rnacentral:rRNA from 1 species
AACGAACGCUGGCGGCAGGCUUAACACAUGCAAGUCGAACGCCCCGCAAGGGGAGUGGCAGACGGGUGAGUAACGCGUGGGAAUCUACCGUACCCUACGGAAUAACGCAUGGAAACGUGUGCUAAUACCGUAUACGCCCUACGGGGGAAAGAUUUAUCGGGGAAUGAUGAGCCCGCGUUGGAUUAGCUAGUUGGUGGGGUAAAGGCCUACCAAGGCGACGAUCCAUAGCUGGUCUGAGAUGCUGAUCAGCCACAUUGGGACUGAGACACGGCCCAAACUCCAACGGGAGGCAGCAGUGGGGAAUAUAGGAAGAUGGGCGCAAGCCUGAUCCAGCAAUGCCGCGUGAGUGAUGAAGGCCCUAGGGUUGUAAAGCUCUUUCACCGAUGAAGAUAAUGACGGUAGUCGGAGAAGAAGCCCCGGCUAACUUCGUGCCAGCCGCCGCCGUAAAAC